UACGAAGGGGGGCUAGCGUUGUUCGGAAUUACUGGGCGUAAAGCGUAUGUAGGCGGAUCGUUAAGUCGGGGGGUGAAAUCCUGGAGCUCAACUCCAGAACUGCCUUUUGAUACUGAGGAGCUUGAGUCCGGGAGAGGUGAGUGGAACUGCGAGUGUAGAGGUGAAAUUCGUAGAUAUUCGCAAGAACACCAGUGGCGAAGGCGGCUCACUGGCCCGGUACUGACGCUGAGGUGCGAAAGCGUGGGGAGCAAACAGGG
rnacentral:rRNA from 1 species